rnacentral:rRNA from 1 species
AANGCGUGAGGAACCUGCCUCAAAGAGGGGGACAACAGUUGGAAACGACUGCUAAUACCGCAUAAGCCCACGGCUCGGCAUCGAGCAGAGGGAAAAGGAGCAAUCCGCUUUGAGAUGGCCUCGCGUCCGAUUAGCUAGUUGGUGAGGUAACGGCCCACCAAGGCGACGAUCGGUAGCCGGACUGAGAGGUUGAACGGCCACAUUGGGACUGAGACACGGCCCAGACUCCUACGGGAGGCAGCAGUGGGGAAUAUUGCACAAUGGGGGAAACCCUGAUGCAGCGACGCCGCGUGGAGGAAGAAGGUCUUCGGAUUGUAAACUCCUGUUGUUGAGGAAGAUAAUGACGGUACUCGACAAGGAAGUGACGGCUAACUACGUGCCAGCAGCCGCGGUAAAACGUAGGUCACAAGCGUUGUCCGGAAUUACUGGGUGUAAAGGGAGCGCAGGCGGGAGAACAAGUUGGAAGUGAAAUCCAUGGGCUCAACCCAUGAACUGCUUUCAAAACUGUUUUUCUUGAGUAGUGCAGAGGUAGGCGGAAUUCCCGGUGUAGCGGUGGAAUGCGUAGAUAUCGGGAGGAACACCAGUGGCGAAGGCGGCCUACUGGGCACCAACUGACGCUGAGGCUCGAAAGUGUGGGUAGCAAACAGGAUUAGAUACCCUGGUAGUCCACACCGUAAACGAUGAUUACUAGGUGU